GGAGAGGUUCGGGAGUGGUUUAACCGGCGCGCUUGGAAGGCGCGUGACCAGAAAUGGUCCGUGGGUUCGAAUCCCACCCUCUCCGCCA
rnacentral:tRNA from 1 species